rnacentral:rRNA from 1 species
UGGGGAAUUUUGGACAAUGGGGGAAACCCUGAUCCAGCCAUCCCGCGUGUGCGAUGAAGGCCUUCGGGUUGUAAAGCACUUUUGGCAGGAAAGAAACGUCGCGGGUUAAUACCCGCGAAACUGACGGUACCUGCAGAAUAAGCACCGGCUAACUACGUGCCAGCAGCCGCGGUAAUACGUAGGGUGCAAGCGUUAAUCGGAAUUACUGGGCGUAAAGCGUGCGCAGGCGGUUCGGAAAGAAAGAUGUGAAAUCCCAGAGCUUAACUUUGGAACUGCAUUUUUAACUACCGGGCUAGAGUGUGUCAGAGGGAGGUGGAAUUCCGCGUGUAGCAGUGAAAUGCGUAGAUAUGCGGAGGAACACCGAUGGCGAAGGCAGCCUCCUGGGAUAACACUGACGCUCAUGCACGAAAGCGUGGGGAGCAAACAGGAUUAGAUACCCUGGUAGUCCACGCCCUAAACGAUGUCAACUAGCUGUUGGGGCCUUCGGGCCUUGGUAGCGCAGCUAACGCGUGAAGUUGACCGCCUGGGGAGUACGGUCGCAAGAUUAAAACUUAAAUGAAUUG